rnacentral:rRNA from 1 species
GAAUAUUGCGCAAUGGGCGAAAGCCUGACGCAGCAACGCCGCGUGCGGGAAGAAGGGCUUCGGCUCGUAAACCGCUUUUCUGCGGGAAGAGAACGGACGGUACCGCAGGAAUAAGUCUCGGCUAACUACGUGCCAGCCGCCGCGGUAAAACGUAGGAGGCAAACGUUAUCCGGAUUUACUGGGCGUAAAGCGCGUGCAGGUGGUUAGCUAAGUCGUGCGUGAAAGCUCCCUGGCUCAACCGGGAGAGGUCGUGCGAUACUGGCUAACUUGAGACAGAGAGAGGCAAGUAGAAUUCCGGGUGUAGUGGUGAAAUGCGUAGAUAUCCGGAGGAAUACCAGUGGCGAAGGCGGCUUGCUGGCUCUGUUCUGACACUCAGACGCGAAAGCAUGGGGAGCGAACGGG